rnacentral:rRNA from 1 species
UAGGCUGAAACUCGCCUACAUGAAGCUGGAGUUGCUAGUAAUCGCGAAUCAGAAUGUCGCGGUGAAUACGUUCCCGGGCCUUGUACACACCGCCCGUCACACCAUGAGAGUUGGCAAUACCCAAAGUUCGUGAGCUAACGCGCAAGCGGGGCAGCGACCUAAGGUAGGGUCAGCGAUUGGGGUGAAGUCGUAACAAGGUAGCCGUAGGAGAACCUGCGGCUGGAUCACCUCCUUU